GGGAAGAGCUCAAAUUUGUAAUCUGGCACCUUCGGUGUCCGAGUUGUAAUCUCGAGAAGUGUUUUCCGCGCCGGACCGCAUACAAGUCUGUUGGAAUACAGCGUCAUAGUGGUGAGAACCCCGUAACUGAUGCGGAUGCCCGGUGCUUUGUGAUACACUUUCGAAGAGUCGAGUUGUUUGGGAAUGCAGCUCAAAUUGGGUGGUAAAUUCCAUCUAAAGCUAAAUAUUGGCGAGAGACCGAUAGCGAACAAGUACCGUGAGGGAAAGAUGAAAAGCACUUUGGAAAGAGAGUUAACAGUACGUGAAAUUGUUGGAAGGGAAACGCUUGAAGUCAGACUUGCUAUUUGGAAUUCAGCCGCAAGGUGUACUUUUCAAUUCGCAGGCCAGCAUCAGUUUUCGGGGGUGGAAAAGGGUAGAGAGAAGGUAGCAAUUUCGGUUGUGUUAUAGCUCUUUGCUGGAUUCAUCCUUGGGGACUGAGGAACGCAGCACGCUUUUUGCAAGGCUUUCGAGCUUUUCGUGCUUAGGAUGCUGGUGGAAUGGCUUUAAACGACCCGUCUUGAA
rnacentral:rRNA from 1 species